rfam:Gossypium hirsutum cultivar TM-1 chromosome 9, whole genome shotgun sequence
AACCCAUGGUAAUGGCAUCUUCUCAAUAAGUCCUUGUCUCUCUCCCAUGCAUCAUAAAGUGUUUCUAAAUCCAUCUGCACAAAAGAAGAGAUAUCAUUCCUUAAUUU